rnacentral:rRNA from 1 species
UACGUAGGGUGCGAGCGUUGUCCGGAAUUAUUGGGCGUAAAGAGCUUGUAGGCGGUUUGUCGCGUCUGCUGUGAAAAUCCGGGGCUCAACCCCGGACUUGCAGUGGGUACGGGCAGACUAGAGUGUGGUAGGGGAGACUGGAAUUCCUGGUGUAGCGGUGGAAUGCGUAGAUAUCAAGAGGAACACCAGUGGCGAAGGCGAGUCCCUGGACAAUACCUGACACUGAGGCACGAAAGCCAAGGGAGCAAACAGG